ensembl:lncRNA
GACGGAGCGAGAGGCUGUGCGUGGCCGGCAGGAGAUGCCCGCGUCCAGAGGCCCGCUGUGCCGGCAGGGUCCCGGGGCGCAGGGGGUCGUGGCCGGGCCUGGGCUGGGUGGCGUGAGUGACCGUGCUGGGCUCGGCCAGGGCCGUGUGAACCGGCCUCCAGGCUCUGCUCCCGGCUCUUUGAAGCCCUUCCAGGUGGCCCGGCUCGGGACGCCCCGUGAGGACCUUCACAUUUCCAGUUCAUCCAGAUCCACCAGGCAAAGUCAAACUGUCCAGUUCCCCCGGGGCCUCUGGCCCAGCCGCCCAGGGAGGCCUCCGUGGGAAGGCGCCUCUGGACGAGUCUCUGAGCCCGACCGAGCUUCCUGCCUCCCGUGGGGCCAGGCCUCCCUCUCACGGUCUUCCCACUCGGGGCCACACAGAGGCUGCAGCUCCCAGGCCAGCCCUCACCCACCAAGUGGCCAGGGUGGGGACAGUGGCCGCGUCUGGCUAUGUAGGGGCCCAGCCACAGUAAGGUGGGUGGGACGGCAAAUGGUAGCAUUGGGGCUUCCAGGGACCGCAGCCUCUGGGUGGGAGAUGGCAAAGGGCAUGUCCAGGUGGAGAGGGAGGGGGCCUGGCGUGCGUGCGUGUGUGUGCAUGUGUGUGUGUGGCCGGGCUGGGGGUAUGGAGAGGUGACGGUGGGCUGACGCCCAGGGUGGGGUGGGCAGGCCCAGGGACGUGCCGCCUGCUUGGUGAGCCAAUGGCCAGAUGGGUGAGGUGUCAAGGGAGCAUGUUCCAGACGGCAAGUCCCUCACGUCCUUGGAAUUGAAGACCUUCACACUGGACCCCUCAUGAUGGGGAGGCUGAGACCCUGGAAGGAAGGUGGAAGCCCUGGCCACACUGCUGGGAGAGGACCCCUCGGCUCCCACACCCAGAGACCCCUUGAGGAGGGUCCUCGGGUCCCUCGUGGUGCGUACCCUGGGGCCUGACGCACAGUGUUUGUGCUGGGAACACCGAGGAGGGGCCCUGCUGUCCAGGUCUUUACGAUGCCAGGGUUUGCUGAGCACCAGAGUUUGCUAAGCACUGUGCCGGCCAGGGGAUGCUGCCGUGAGCAGGGCGGGAGCUGCCUGCAUGCUGCUUUGGGCAACUCGGCCUCGUCCCCCUCAGCUCACGUCUGCGAGUUGGGUCGGCCGCCCCCGGCUCAGUGUCGUGGGAGGAUCACACCCGGGCACGCCCACCUUCCCCGUCAGGGCCUUCACCCAGGAGCGAUGUCCGUGGUGGCCCCAAAAAGAUACGUCCCGGCCCCCGGCACCUGUGACUGUGACCUUAUUUGGAGAAAAGGGUCUUUGCAGAUGUAAUCAAGGGAUCGCAAGAUGCGAUCCUCUUGGAAUCUCCGCGUGGGCCCUAAAUCCAGGGACAGGUGUCCUUACAAGACACAGAAGAGGAGAGGACAUGGAGAUGAGGAGGAGCAGGUCGUGUGAAGACGAGGCAGAGACGGGAGUGGUGCGGCCGCCGCCAGGCUUCCCUGAUGGCUGGGACGUCUGUGGCCUGUGAGCUGGACAGUCUGGAAGCGAGCAUCUUCAGCAGCUGUGCCUGACCCCGGGCUCCAGAAGUUUCCCGAGUCUGCAGGAAUUGCCAGGAGACGCAGAGCAACCCCUUUAAUCAGGCUCCGUGAACUCUUUAACCCAAAGCUCUGUGUGUGGGCGCGUGGCCAUUUUCUUGGUCACUUAGAGGCAGGAUAAGGCCAGUGCCAACCCAGAGCCGAGAUGUGGUGACGGGGCCACAGCAUCUCUGUUUACAGGAAUCUCUGACCUGGGCUCCCCGAACAGCAGUCACUCCCUUCGGAGUCUCAAAUCAGUCGAUCCGUUAACGUGCGUGCUGACUGUUUGUUGAGCGCUUCCUGUGUCCCAGGCAUUGCACACCCAUUAUCAGACUUAGUCCUCACCACUUCCCCAUGGCAUGCCCGUGUACAGAUGAGGAAACUGAGGCUCAGAGAGGAAAGUCCUGACUCUUAGGGUUUAGAGUCCCUGGGCAAGAGGGCUUUGAGCUGGAGGUGGGGUUUGGACUGGGGACGUGGAGGUGAAGCCAUGGCAGGAGGGAACCAUGAGAGCGAUGUCCAGCAAUGGCAAACGUGAGGCCAAGGGGAUGGCCUAGGGUAGCCUCUGCCUCCAAGGCCAGGGGUGGGACACGUGGCCCACUGGGGGUCCCCUGGACUGAGGUCAUUGCACAGCUCUAGGAAGAGACAGGCAGGAUGUGCAAAUUAUUCUACCCAGACAAUUGUCUUCUAGGGGGAUGACCAGUGUUAGCCAUCCAUCCAUCUAUCCAUCAAAACUCCCUUCCUCCCCUCUCUCACUCCUUUCCUUCCUCUCCCUCUCCAUCUAUCCGUCCAUCUAUCAACCAUCCAUCCAUCUAUCCAUCAUCCAUCCAUCCAUCCAUCUACCCAUCCAGCCAUCAUCCACCCAUCCAUCCAUCCAUCAUCCAUCCAUCCAUCCAUCCAUCUACCCAUCCAUCCAUCAUCCAUCCAUCCAUCCAUCUACCCAUCCAUCCAUCCAUCCAUCACCCAUCCAUCCAUCCAUCCAGUCAUCAUCCAUCCAUCCAUCCAUCCAUCUACCCAUCCAUCCAGUCAUCAUCCAUCCAUCCAUCCAUCCAUCCAUCACCCAUCCAUCCAUCACCCAUCCAUCCAUCCAUCCAGUCAUCAUCCAUCCAUCCAUCAUCCAUCCAUCAUCCAUCCAUCCAUCCAUCCAUCCAUCCC